ensembl:lncRNA
GGUUACUGAGUCCAUGGUCUAACCAUCGAGACCCACUGCCUUUUUGUAUGUGAGAGAAAAAUUAAAGCGUAAGAUCUGGAGAUAGGUUUUAUAGCUGACAGAGUGAGCUGGAAGGUCUGGUAGAAUAAUUUAUAAUCUCCUCUUGCUGGUUACUGUACCAUCGUUACAGGCAGAAUUUUAGAUUAAGUAGGUCAAUUUCUAAGAUGACCUGCAGCCCCUUAAAUGAAGAGAGUUGAAAGCGGGCAUUAGAAGCUGUUGCACAAAUGCAGCCUCAUUAGGAUUUUGUGUUUAGUGCCUCUGGUUUACAAUGUCAUUUAUUAUACAAAAAGCACAGUAUUUCGGCUAUAAUCUGAAAGCACAGAGACAGCAGUUACAAACGAGGUCUGGAAAACAAGAUUACCAGUUUGGAAAGGAAACAGAACGCAGUAUCAAGCCCCACAGUUUAGCAGAAAUGGGUCGUAUUGUAAGUAAUACGCCCAGUGAUGGACCUUCUUUCUUAAUCUGCAGUUCACUGUACCAAUGAUGAUUAUCUGACCCAAUCUGGAACAAUCAGAGCACUUUCCCUAUAAAUAUGGAAUUGAGGUGAAUGAGAAGUAAAGGGAAGAAAACAGAGAGGGAGGAGAAGAUUAAUUCAAUUUCCUUGUGAGGUAGAGUGGUGACCUGCAAACUCAGGAGAUGUGCGUAGACUUCUUGCCAGACAGAUUGGGCAACAGAGAAAGCCAGGGUGCAGGAACAGAACAAUGCGACGGUUACACAGAGAGAAACAGAGAGCCACAGAAGAAAUUCAGGCGUGGCUCUUCUGAGACUGAGCAUCCCAUU